GGUAACAGAGAAGAGCUUGCUCUUUUGCUGACGAGUGGCGCACGGGUGCGUAACGCGUAUACAAUCUACCUUUUACUGGGGAAUAGCCUUUAGAAAUGAAGAAUAAUACCCCAUAGUAAGUAAUUUUCGCAUGGAAGAUACUUUAAAGUUUCGGCGGUAAAAGAUGAGUAUGCGUUCUAUUAGCUAGAUGGUAAGGUAACGGCUUACCAUGGCAACGAUAGAUAGGGGCCCUGAGAGGGGGAUCCCCCACACUGGUACUGAGACACGGACCAGACUCCUACGGGAGGCAGCAGUGAGGAAUAUUGGACAAUGGGCGAGAGCCUGAUCCAGCCAUGCCGCGUGCAGGAAGACUGCCCUAUGGGUUGUAAACUGCUUUUAUACAGGAAGAAACCACAGAACGUGUUCUGUGCUGACGGUACUGUAAGAAUAAGGAUCGGCUAACUCCGUGCCAGCAGCCGCGGUAAUACGGAGGAUCCAAGCGUUAUCCGGAAUCAUUGGGUUUAAAGGGUCCGUAGGUGGAUAAUUAAGUCAGAGGUGAAAUCCUGCAGCUCAACUGUAGAAUUGCCUUUGAUACUGGUUAUCUUGAGUUAUUAUGAAGUAGUUAGAAUAUGUAGUGUAGCGGUGAAAUGCAUAGAUAUUACAUAGAAUACCAAUUGCGAAGGCAGAUUACUAAUAAUCAACUGACACUGAUGGACGAAAGCGUGGGGAGCGAACAGGAUUAGAUACCCUGGUAGUCCACGCCGUAAACGAUGGUCACUAGCUGUUCGAACUUCGGUUUGAGUGGCUAAGCGAAAGUGAUAAGUGACCCACCUGGGGAGUACGUUCGCAAGAAUGAAACUCAAAGGAAUUGACGGGGGCCCGCACAAGCGGUGGAGCAUGUGGUUUAAUUCGAUGAUACGCGAGGAACCUUACCAGGGCUUAAAUGUAAAUUGACAGGUUUAGAGAUAGACUUUUCUUCG
rnacentral:rRNA from 1 species